CCCGUUCCCCUUCUGGUAUCUUGUGUAGGGCACAUUGUCUCUCAAAGUCCGCCAAAUAGCCAUCAAUCUCAUCUGUAGCCUCCUCAAAUGCUUUGAAUGUGCUGUAGGGAAUUUUCCGCGGUUCAGGGUUAAAGCUGGAACUAUUUAGGGCGACCGCUGUAAUUCUCUGCCUCCACUAAGCGGAUUUGUAAUUCCUGUCACUUAUUCGCAUUUUCAUUUGCACUGUCAAUUAUGCGAAGGAUGAUUUCUGGCGCAGGGUUUGGCCCGAACAGCGCCAGCCGUUCCCUUAUUUCUAG